rnacentral:lncRNA from 1 species
UGCAUCCAGGGCGGGGCUAACCGCAGCUGGCGCCAACCCCGCCCCCUGGCGCACGGAACUGAACUCGCUGAGGACCAAGGCAUUUUCAGCACCUAUCUUGCGUGGACAGCAACCGAGUCUUGGGCCAGCCCGAACCAGGGUCGCGGUCCUUAGUUCCCGGACCGGAGCCAAAAGGGAGGUUUGUCAAAGGAGUAGAGAUUAGAAGCGAUUGCUAUCCACGAUGGAGAUUCCCAGAUGAGGGGAAAAAAAUCAUCCAUACCCUUCCCACGUUUCCCACCCACGCUCUGC